AAAAGGAAAUCUGACCCGUAGGAAGUGGAAUCGACCUUCAGUAGAUGGUGAAUGUCUAAAAAGAUGUGCUUUAAACUAAAGUUUGAAAAAUAUCAGGAGUUAAAGGACAAUAAUUAAUAACAAAGGUCUUGGGAAGUGCGAUUACAUGUGAGGUGCGAGAAAGUCUUAUAGAUCUAGGUAAAUAUUGAAGUUUAUGUAUCAGGAAAAAUAAAGUAAGUUCUUUCGAUACACUUAUUUCCACAAAUUCAAAGAAACUGCAUUAGAGCUGACUUACGAUGUAUAGUAGCCUUGAAAAAAAUUAUAAACAUGGCUUUUUAAAAUAUUUAAUUUUUUUU